GUGAAAAUAACCUAUCAAUUUUUAUUUGUUAAGAUUGGGGGAUUUUUGGUCCCUGGGCCUUCUCAGACCCGCCCAGCGAGAUUUAGAGAGAUGUUGUAAACUUAGUAUUAGAACUUCAAGAUUCAAGGAACUAUGCAGAUCUCCUCAUGAAGCUCUCCGCUACCUUCAGGAAACCCUGUCUGGUUGUGUAGAUCACGGAAACCCUGACGAAGAGAAACAAUUCCAGAAACUUCCAGCUAGUAUAUUCAACCAGAAUGAAAUGAUAAACGAGCAUGAGAUAAGAUCAACACUGUUUAAAUCUUUAGUCACCCUUUUCCCACCUGAAAUGACCCAACCAACAGGAAACCUGGUUGACCUCAUUCCCCUGGAUUCUUCGGUCCAAGGAGAAAUAUCUAAUCCCCAACCAUUUAUCUAAACUGGGUCUGCUACACUGUCCCUGAACGAGAUUGUUCUUGUAAUUCCAAGUGACUUCCAAUUUAAAGUGAGGGGACAAAUCUAAUUUUCUUAUAGAUAAACAUGUUUAUUUUAUUUAGUCAUGAUCAGAAUUGCUUUUAAGGUUACCGUUGGAAUCAGACAUGCUAGUCAAUAAAUUGAGGUUCACUUGAAAUUACGUCAGCACUGCACUACAAUCCUAUUAAGACCGGUCCGCUACACUUACCCAUGAAAACUAUGUUAAUACAUAGUAGUAAACCCUAUGCACUAAAAAUCCUUAG